GUAGCAGUGAGGACGACGAGAGGUCACUCUCGUCGCCAUUUUGUUUUUGGUGGUUUUUGUCUGGCUUCUUUACCGCAACCUGUUUUAUCAGCAAAGUCUUUAUAACCUGUAUUUUGUGCUGACCUCCUAUCUCAUCCUGUGACUUAGAAUGCCUUAACAACUGUCUGGAAUGCAGCCCGGUAUGCAUGGAAUUCUAUCUCUAUCCCUCCAAGAACUUUGUUUAAAUAAUUUUGCUUAAGAGGAAUGAAAUGUCCUUUUCUGUCAAGAUAUUUCAUGAUUCUGAAGAAGAAUUGGAGGUGAGACUUGAGAAAAUGGAGAAAAAGAUAUGCUUUGGAUUUUCUUGAAGACUAGAAGCUUUCUUAACCAUCCACCACCUUGUUGACUGGUUAUUAUUCUCUCUACCUUCUGUGAAACAAACUGAUGGAUACUAAUGGCACAAUUACACUUAUAGCUAGUCAGUUGCAUAGUUUAUGCACAUAGUUCUGCUUCCAGUGUUUAGUAAUGAGUUAAACAUUUUGGCUAUAUUUGUCUCUGAAGCUAUAAUUUCAAUUAAUCAUUAUGUAUAGCAAUAAUAACAAGUAAAACAAAAAGAAGAAUUUUUUGUUUCUAUGGUAAUUAUGUUGGGUGCUUUGGAUCCUCCCAAUAAAGUUGACUUCCUAAAAUAAUUACACUUGAAUUAGGUAUAGAGAAGCUAAUUGUAACAAAUUGAAAGUUACUGUAAAUCUUCUAAUCGUAGUUCUCUGCAAGUGUACUUAAGUUAUUGCUCCACUUGAAAUAAAUGAAAACUGGAAAUCUGAGGUGAUGAAUUAUGGGUCCCUUUUAUGUAAGAAAGAUGACAAGGAAAUCUAAUCUGCUGAGUUAUACUAAAAUAAAAUACCUUGGCCUGGGAUCAAAUAUAGGUGAAAGAAUUAACAUUUAUGUUUUUUAAUUAAGAUAAAAUGUACAAGUUUUAUGUACAUAUUUUAUGAUUUCCUGAUAUAACAAAAAGUGUUGAUAAAAGCACCCAAUACUGAUUCUAAUGACAUUUGAUUAGCAUUAAAGAGUUGCUAUUAU
rnacentral:lncRNA from 1 species